rnacentral:rRNA from 1 species
AUUGAACGCUGGCGGCAUGCCUUACACAUGCAAGUCGAACGGUAACAGGUCUUCGGAUGCUGACGAGUGGCGAACGGGUGAGUAAUACAUCGGAACGUGCCUAGUAGUGGGGGAUAACUACUCGAAAGAGUGGCUAAUACCGCAUGAGAUCUACGGAUGAAAGCAGGGGAUCGCAAGACCUUGUGCUACUAGAGCGGCCGAUGGCAGAUUAGGUAGUUGGUGGGAUAAAAGCUUACCAAGCCGACGAUCUGUAGCUGGUCUGAGAGGACGAUCAGGCACGCUGGGGCUGGGACACGGGCCAGGCUGCUGGGGGAGGGAGGAGUGGGGAAUUGUGGACAAUGGGCGCAAGCCUGAGGCAGCAAUGCCGCGUGCAGGAUGAAGGCGUUCGGGUUGUGAGGUGCUUUUGUACGGAGCGAAAAGCGCUGGGUUAAUGCCCUGGGGUCAUGACGGUACCGUAAGAAUAAGCACCGGCUAAUUACGUGCCAGCAGCCGGAGUAAUAC